CUGGACAUGUACCAAUAUGUUUUGCUAGUGAAACAUCUUCGGAGACUGGUGCGGUCAAUGCCUUGACUGCUAAAAUUAAUAUUUUUAUUACAUCAAACAAAAUAUCAAAAUUUAAAGAGAUAGAAAUGCACAGAGCCUCUGAAUAAAAUCUUACUUGUAAUUUCUAAAUUCU